rnacentral:lncRNA from 1 species
ACUCCUCAUGAGAUGUGGACUGGUAAAGUACCCAAACUAGACCACAUCAAGAUUUGGGGUUGCGAGGCUUUCAUGAGAUGCGAGACUCAUGAUAAGCUCGAACCUCGAAGUGAGAGGUGUAUUUUCAUCGGCUACCCACAGAAAUCCUUUGGUUACCUCUUCUACAGACCUAGUGAAAAUGUGGUUUGUGUAUCUAGGAGGGCUGUCUUUCGAGAAAUAGAGUUCAUAUGCCAAGGAAACAGUGUGAGGCAGGUUAACCUUGAAGAAAUUCAAGAGUCAAGUGGUGAAGGAACUUCAAACCCUAACACUUAACUUGAGGAGGAAACUCCUGUUGUGCCAAUUGAAGAGUUUGUACCUCUGAGGCGUUUCACGAGAGUUAGGAAUGCACCUGAACAUUACUAUGGAUUCCAUAUUACUGCAGAAGGUGAUACACUUAUUAGUGAUGAGACACUAGUAGGGCUGGAUGAACCUCAAAGUUACGCGGGAGCCAUGGCAGGCCCUGAUUCAGCCAAGUGGAAAGAGGAAAUGGACAGCGAGAUACAAUCCAUGUAUGACAAUCAAGUUUGGAACUUGGUUGAGAAUGUACUAGGUCGUAAGACUGNNNNNNNNNNNNNNNNNNNNNNNNNNNNNNNNNNNNNNNNNNNNNNNNNNNNNNNNNNNNNNNNNNNNNNNNNNNNNNNNNNNNNNNNNNNNNNNNNNNNNNNNNNNNNNNNNNNNNNNNNNNNNNNNNNNNNNNNNNNNNNNNNNNNNNNNNNNNNNNNNNNNNNNNNNNNNNNNNNNNNNNNNNNNNNNNNNNNNNNNNNNNNNNNNNNNNNNNNNNNNNNNNNNNNNNNNNNNNNNNNNNNNNNNNNNNNNNNNNNNNNNNNNNNNNNNNNNNNNNNNNNNNNNNNNNNNNNNNNNNNNNNNNNNNNNNNNNNNNNNNNNNNNNNNNNNNNNNNNNNNNNNNNNNNNNNNNNNNNNNNNNNNNNNNNNNNNNNNNNNNNNNNNNNNNNNNNNNNNNNNNNNNNNNNNNNNNNNNNNNNNNNNNNNNNNNNNNNNNNNNNNNNNNNNNNNNNNNNNNNNNNNNAUAGGAAAUGACAUCCCAACUCUGUAGGAAGUUAAGUCCUGGCUUGGGAAGUGUUUCUCAAUGAAGGACCUAGGAGAAGCCGCCUAUAUUCUAGGGAUAAGGAUCUUGAGAGACCAGAGUAAAAGACUAAUUGGACUUAGUCAGAGUACCUACUUGGAUAAGGUGCUGAAGAGAUUCAGCACGUAGGACUCCAAGAAAGGAGAGUUACCUAUGUAGUGUAAUGCCAGAUUGAUUAAGACUCAAAGCCCGAGUACUGAGGUUAAGAUAGCAUAAAUGAGUCGAGGGUUGUAGGAUCGAUCAUGUAUGCUAUGACAUGUACUCGACCUGAUGUAGUCUUUGCUUUAAGCAUGGUUAGCAGGUAUCAGGGGNUUAGUAUUGACUGUGGAUGACAUACUACUUAUAGGAAAUAACAUCCCAACUCUGUAGGAAGUUAAGUCCUGGCUUGGGAAGUGUUUCUCAAUGAAGGACCUAGGAGAAGCCGCCUAUAUUCUAGGGAUAAGGAUCUUGAGAGACCAGAGUAAAAGACUAAUUGGACUUAGUCAGAGUACCUACUUGGAUAAGGUGCUGAAGAGAUUCAGCAUGUAGGACUCCAAGAAAGGAGAGUUACCUAUGUAGUGUAAUGCCAGAUUGAGUAAGACUCAAAGCCUGAGUACUGAGGCUGAGAUAGCAUAAAUGAGUCGAGUACCUUAUGCUUCGGUUGUAGGAUCGAUCAUGUAUGCUAUGAAGUGUACUCGACCUGAUGUAGUCUUUCCUUUAAGCAUGGUUAGCAGGUAUCAGGAGAACCCUGGCAAGGCACACUGGACUGCGGUAAAGAAUAUCCUCAAGUACCUACAGAGGACUAAGGACUGGGUCCUUAUCCUCGGUGGGAGUGAUGGCUUGAGAGUUGUAGGGUAUAGUGAUGUUGGCUUCUAGACUGAUAGGGAUAAUUUCCGCUCUCAGUCAGACUGGAUCUUUUCCCUAAACGGAGGAGCAAUUACUUGGAAGAGUUCCAAGUAGGAGACAGUGGCCGAUUCCACUUGUGAAUCAGAGUAUAUUGCAGGGAGCGAGGCAGCAAAAGAGGCAAUAUGGCUGAAGAACUUCAUUGGAGACCUUGAGGUUGUACCAGCUAUAAAGGAGCCUAUGGAAAUUUUCUGUGAUAGUGAAAGUGUUGUNGUGUUGUUUCCUUAGCCAAGGAACCAACGGAUCAUGGGAGAUCCAGACACAUCGACAUAAAAUAUCACUUUACCAGACAUCGCAUAGAAGAAGGAAUCCUCGUGGCAAAUAGGGUAUCAUCAGAUGAGAACCCAGCAGAUCCCCUCACGAAGGGACUGAGUAGGCUUAAGCAUCUUCAGCACCCGUACACNUGAUAUUAUUUUUAGUAGUUAGAUAAUUUUGGAAAUUUGUAAAGUGUAAUUGACAUUUCAUGAUGAAUAAAAGUUGUGUUUAUUUAUGAUUAAAGUGUUGCUAUCUUCUGCCAAUCAUUUUCUAUAAUUUCUUUUGCAUGUUUUGACUUCCAGAAUGUUAUGUUUUGUUUUACAUAUUAUUCAAAUUUUCCACAGUCGUUCAUAUGUUGGAAGUAGAUAAGAAAUAAGACUAUCAUGAAGUUGGUUGUAGGUGUCAAGUUUAGGACAACACUUCAUGAGUACUCCUAAGUUCUGAGUAUUAGAAUCAACCCAUGCUCACUAGUAUCACUUCAUGGAAUUUAUCUCGAGUGAUUGUGAGACGGUAACAUCAUAUAAGUCUUCAAACCUAGAGAUAUGAUUUGUUGCCUAUGAGUUGGUUAUGCAUUGAUUGUACAAAAACGCAUUGGUAACUCGAUGAUAUAAAACAUGCUUUUAUGUAUAAAUCAACAAGUAGUAGAGCAAACAUAUGAGUCAAAGUUAUAUGUUCCUUCUUGGAUUAGAAGCUGAUAUUUGGGCCCCUCGAUGAUCUUGUUUUGACCUAUGUACCGAGCCUGGUCAUAACUAUGUUGAUGUGUUCAAUUAAGUUCCUUGUCAAACAAUUCGGAAAUCAGGAAACAAACUGCUGGACAAUAAGUAAGACAUUGUUCCAUGUAUUUGUCCGCCUGAUAUCUAGAAUAUAGGAUUAAAUGAUCACUUAUCUUGAAUGGCGUAUCAUCAUCUUCUCAGUUCUGAGAGACCUUGAAAAAGCUAGGAUUGCCGCUCGGUUCCUGAAGUCAUUCUUGCAGUUAUAGUUAUUAGACUUAUCCGAGUGGGAGACUGUUGGAUAAGGUAUCUAAGUCCAUAAGUAUUUCUGGUAUGUACUUGACCCGACCCGGCAUGGUCCAUUUGGGUUGCAUGGCACCAUGCAUUGGAUAAACAAAAUGAGAGAAAUAACACUUAUGGUUUAUUAAUAUAUUAUAAGUUCUAAUAUAUUAAUAAUAUUAUUUAAUUAGUUUGAACAAGAAUUAAUUUAUAAUUACUUAAGUGAUCAAAAGAUAACUAAUUAAAUAUAUGGGUUGAUUAUGUAAAGCAUCCAUAACUUAUAUAGUGGGCCAGAGGCUCCUGGAUUAUCAAGUUGGGUUCCACCCAUAGGAUGCUCCAUGGAGUUAAUCCAUGGAUCAUGGAAAUGAAGAGUCAUGUUACAUUAGGGUUUACCUAAUGCAACACACUAUAUAAACCAUGUGACAUCUCCGAAAAUUGGGGACACUAAGGAAAACAAGAGGGCUAGAGCCGAUUUUAGUGUGUUAUACAUUCUCUCCAAGUUUACUCCAUAGCAUUUGGUGUUGUGUGAAGCAUUUGAGGCAUCACACUAUUGGGGUGCUAGGCUCACAUGGUUUCAAGGAAUCAAAAUCCACAAAAAGGUAUGUUAUUAUAUCUUACAUUUAAGUUAAAAAUGUUCCCCAUGUAUGCUAGAUAGGAUCAUGAACCUUGGAAAUCAUCUUGCAUGAAUUUUAGACAAACAUAGAUCCAAGGUUUAUUAGGGCUUCAUGCACACUUAGGAAGUGUUACAAUGCUCAAAACCCAUUAGAAGCAGGGUUUGAUGAAUCACUUAUUGAGCAACUUAUUCAACUUGCUGGAUAAUUCCUACAUUUCUGCCGGCGCUAGACGGUAUGAGGAUUUGGCUACAGUGGUAGCUCCGGGGAUUAUGUCGAUUCAGAACUCGACUUGGCGUUCGAGAGGAACUCCUGGAAGAUCUUCGUGGAAGACAUCAGGAGAGUUGUAGACUUCGGGGAUGUUGUCGAGGUCUUUAACUUCCUGCUUUUUGUUUACGGCAUGGGCUAGGAAUGCAUGGCACUCCUUUCGCAGAUAAUUUUGGUCUUUGAUGCACGAUAUGACACGAAGGUUUGUGAUGAGUUAUCACCAUAGAUGACGAGGGGUUCACCAUUUUGCAGAUUGAGGCAAAUGGCUUUUUCGUAGCUAAGAAUAUCCGCAUGACGAAGACUUAACCAGUCCAUGCUGAUGAUGACAUUAAACAUCUUAAUGGAGACCGACAUAAGAUCUAUGGGACAGGAAUAAUCUUUUAGGGUAAGGGUACAUUCCAUGAAUACGUCGUUAGAGUUCUCUUUCUUUCCAUUAGCCAUCUCGAUGGUGAACGUGUCGGUUCGAGGUUGGGAUUUAUGUUUGAGAAGGUGUUUAAAUGUAUAACUGAUAAAAAUUUUCUACGCACCACUAUCAAAAAGAAUACAUGCAUAAGAGUUGUCAAGGAGGAACGUACCCGUAACUACGGUAGGAUGAGCGACUGCCUCCUCCUAGCCCAUAGUUAGCACUCUCCCUGUGUUGCCAGCUGUCAUUGCUUUAGGCCAAUUCCUCUUGAAAUGCCUAGUUUCACCAUAACCAUAGCAGGCUUGGUUUACUCCAGCUUUAGGAGCCACAUUGGUUAGUUGGAUUUGUGUUUUGCAAAAACGGGUUGUAUGACCUUUUUUGCCACAAUUGUUGCAUUGCAUGUCACGGCAGGGUCCGUGAUGAAGGAAGUUAUACUUAUCGCACCUUGGGAGGGUUCCAACAUAUCUACUGGCAGGUGCUUUAGUUAUGGAAACAACAGCAGGAGUGGUACCACCGUGAACUGCCACUAUCUGUUGUUUCUUGGAGGGCUUUUGUGAAGGAUUCCCUUGCACUUGUUACAGAACCUUUUCUUUCCACGACUCUCUUUAGGUGGUUUGGGAGCGGUUGCUAUGGGUCCAUGGCUAUCCCCUGAUCUAUCAAAGUCUGCGCCAGAUGCUUGGCGUUGUCGAACGUGAGGGGCUUAGCAGCCAAGAUGUUCCCUUGAGUUGGGGGUGUCAAUCCCCAUAUGUAUCUAUCAAGUUUCUUGCACUCCGGGGUGACCAUCCUGGGACAUAGAAGAGCCAGGUCGCUGAACCUAGCAAUGUAUGUGGCGAUGUCGGAACUUUUCAUCUUCAGAUUCCAAAGCUCUCGCUCAAGCUUUAUCAUGUCGCCUCGCGGGCAGUAUUCAGCCAACAUCAGCUCCUUCAAAUCCUCCCAACUCAUGGAAUUAUCCACUAAAAGAUUCAAGGAUUUGACAUGGUAAUUCCACCAAGUUAGCACUCUGUCAGUGAAGGUGCAGGCUACAAACUUCACCUUGAUUGUCUCGAGGCAAGCACAAAUCUCGAAGAUUGAUUCGGUCUUAUCGAACCAACUAGUUAGUGCGAUGACUCCUUCGGUGUUGUCGAAGGAACGAGAUUUCGUGUUGGUGAAGUCCUUGUAUGAACUCUCCUUCUUGUGUCGAUGACUAUCACCGAGGUUAAAGGGUUUGCACCACUACCCAACCCGCUAGUGCCAAUCGCAUAGAUCUGCGACAUGGCGACAACCACAGCGGAUGUCACUGCUGCCUGGAACACAGCACAAUCGUACCGAGGAGGUGGUGGCAUCUUUCACUAAAUUAAUUAAAGAAAAAGGAUGGUAAGUCCUCUAUGAUGGUUCUGAGUCAGGUGAUAUUGAACAAGAUAUAUGUCAACCUGAUAGAUAAAGUGUUCUAUUAAGCUAUUUACAAAGAAAGUAUAGUAGUACAAGUAAACAAUCGCUAGAAAAAUAAAUAGCAACACUUGGAAUGAAAUAUCACAAUGUGUUUUGCUCUAGAUAAAAUACUCCUGUAGUAUUUUAGGUUGUGUUUUAUGUUCUGUUGUUCACUUUUUGAAUAGAGUUUGGUUAGUUUUAGACUUUUCGCAACACCAUUAUCACUCUCAAACACUUUUUGGUCGUAUCUCAAAUAAAUAUAGUUGAUGUUACACCCCCAAACCAGAACGGCCGAAACAUUUGGCGGCGGAGGACGUCAUGUGCAGUAUGAUAACAAUGCACAAUAGUAAACAAGCAACAAUAUCAUCCAUUGCAUUAAUAAUAUAAUUUAAUGUAAGUGUGUUAUGUGUAUAGUUUGAAAGACACCAAAAUAUGAAGUGUUAGAAUGCUCAAAACCCAUCAGUGGUAUCAGAGCCUAGGCUUGUUUGUUUGAUACUUGAUGCAAUAUAGUUGAAAAAGUUGAAAAACUUGUUGUCUGCCUAAUGAACUCGCCGAGUCCAUGGGGGGACUCGCCGAGUUCAUGUGUAUCUUCAACCUACUCACCGACUAGGUUCAUGCAUUCGGUGAGUAGAAGCCAGAAAGUGCAGAUUUUCGAUUUUAGUUGCUGGGAAUGGACUAGAAACAUUACCCUAAACUGUUUUGCUACUUGAAAACUUGUUUUAGAUGGUGUAAUGUCUUUGCUAAUCCAUUUACAACAACUUAUUAUCAAACUUACAAACUUUUAUGUGUUAUUUUUGAUUCAUGAAAGUGUUCAUAUUCAUGUUCUUGAUCUUAUGAUGUUUAGAUGAUCAUAGGAAUUAUUUGUAAUCUAUGUGGUAGAUUAAUUCUUGAUCAUUAUGUGUUUUAAUGGAGUCCAUAACUUGUCCUCAAGCUAUGGAAAACCAAAAGUCACUUUGAAUUAAAACCAUUAAAAGAACACAAGAGUUAGAAAAAUGAAGAGUCUUCAUUUUAUUACUCUAUUUAACUCAUAAGUUACAAUAAAUGAAAAGUUUUGUAAGUUUACAAUCCUUGCCCUCAAGUUUUGGAACAAGUAAAGUCAUAUUAAAACUUUAGUUCCAACCCUUAGAAUUUUAAAAGUUAAAAUUCAACCCUUAUACUUAUAAUAUUAUAAGUUAAUAAUAAUAUAUGUAUGUAUAAGAUUAAAGUCGUCUUACCGCUAGUACGCCUCAUUCACAAAGCCGGUCUAUAAGGUGGGUAUAAGGUUGUUGCCUAUAAAAUGGCAACUUAAUGGGUGUCCACUCUCACCCACCGCUUGCUUGACUGGUGGAGGGUCGUUAGCCGAACGGGUUAGACAAGGACUUAUAAAUUCUCAUGAAAAGUAUGACGAAUAUUAUAAAGUAACUAAAUGUUUUAUUAAAUUCCCAAUCUUAGUUACUUUAGGAAAAAUGUGAAUAAGGUGCUAAUCCAUGAAAUUACACUUUACACUUUGUUUAAGUUGUUGGUGGAGCGUGUGUGGUUAACCGGCACACUAACAUGGACUUAACAAGGUAGGUAAAGGGUGACUUAAGGUUUAUUAUAGUAUCGAUGGAGCGUGUGUGGUUAACCGGCACAUCGAUUGAGUGAUAAACUUUAAGGGUACCAAGUGAUUUGCAUGGUUACUUCACACCUCGUUUUGUGAUCCUCGGUAUCCCAGUCACAAAACUUGGAGGGCACACUCGAGAUUGAAACAUGCCUUUGAAAAGUUCAUUGAAUCUCAAAGAAUCUAGGAAUUUCUAAGAACCAUUCAAAAACCUAAUACUAAAAUAUUGCGGUUUUCGUGGUGGAAAUUGGUGAAUCGUCAUUCACCUACCUUUCAAAUAUGAUAUAGCUUAGAUUACGGCAUACCUCUUCUAAGUUAUAUUAUAUUGUGAUUGGAUCCUAGCCUUAAUAUUACAUUUGGGUGUUUUAUUAAGGACUCUCUUAUAUCUAAACUAAUCUUGUCCUCUUUCCUUCAGAUGUCUUUCAACAAUGCUUCUGGCUCUAAUCCUAAUGGCUCCUUUACCCUUAUGAACUUGUGUGGGAAAGUCACCUUUGAUGGAUCCAACUUCAAUGAGUGGAUCAGAAACAUCAGGAUGAUUACCCGCUACGAGGACAAAGAAUAUGUCCUUGACAAGGAGCUUAAGGAGAUUGAUGAGUCCACUGCAACUCCUCAGGAGAUCGCUGAAUUUCGGGCACAUGAAAGGGAUGCUACGAAAGUGGCUUGCAUCAUGAUGGCCACGAUGACAGCGGAACUCCAAAAGUCUUAUGAGGAUUUCUACCCUUAUGACAUGCACCAAGAUUUGAUGGAAAGAUACCAUCAAAGUGCAAGACAAGAGAGGUAUGAAAUCAUCUGCUCCAUGAUAACAACCAUGAUGAAGGACGGGGAAUCCGUCACGAGCCACAUGCAGAAAAUGCAAAGGUAUGUGGAUCGUUUGCUGAAGCUUAAUGUGAACUUCCCGGAGGAUCUUGCAAUAGAUAUUAUUUUGCAUUCCUUACCAUCGUGCUAUGAUCAAUUCCGCAUGACAUAUCACAUGAACAAGGAAGAAGUCACCCUCAGCAAACUUCAGGGACUUCUCAAGACCGCAGAAACAGGUCUUAAGGGGAAGUCGGUUGCUAUCACUCCUACUCAAAACUCUACUCCGGUUUUGGCAAUCGGGAAAAGUCGAGGGAGGAAGAGAAAGAGCUCUUCUAAGGGUACCAAGGCUCGGACCCUUGAUGGCUCUUCUUCAAGUGGAACCAAGAAAGGUUUCGUUACUCCUUCUUCUGACCCAAAAGAGGCUGAAUGCUUCUAUUGCCAUGAAAAAGCUCAUUGGAAGCGGAACUGCCCAAAAUACCAGCAAGAUGUGAAGGAUGGGAAAGUUAAACCCAACCAUGCAGGUAUUUACACUAUCAUUUCUAAUAACUCACCCCAUUCUAAUUCUUGGGUCCUUGAUACCGGUUGUGGUAUUCAUAUUUGUUGUGACUUGCAGGGACUAAGAAGAAGUGAGGAUGUGGAGCAAGGAAGGAUAAACUUGAUCAUGGGGAAUAGGAAAGCUAUACCUGUUACCAAGAUUGGAGUUUAUACUUUAUCGCUAAGUAGUGGGUUUAGUUUAGAUUUGAAUAAGUGUUGUUAUUCGCCAGGAAUGGCAAGAAAUAUUAUUUCCUUUCAUGCUUUGUACAAACAAGGGUUUACCUUUUCAUUUAAUAAUGAAGUUGGUUCUAUAGAUGUUUUCUAUAAUAAUGUCUUUUAUUUUAAAGCAUUACCUUGUGAUGGUGUGUAUGAAGCUGUAUCUGUUGUAGAUAACUUGGGAAAUAAUGUUUUGUGUAUUGAUUCUACUAAUAAUAACUUGGAUAAAGCAUCUUUAUGGCAUUGUCGUCUUGGACAUAUAAGCAAGAAACGCAUAGGCCAACUCCAAAAGGAUGGAGUCUUGGAGUCGUUUGACCUAAAGUCAGAUGAUAGUUGCGAAUCAUGCUUACUUGGAAAAAUGACAAAGUCACCCUUCACAGGUUCGUGUGAGAGGGGUGAAGGUUUGUUGGACCUUAUACACACGGAUGUGUGUGGACCAUUCAAACAUGCCACAAGGGAUGCUAAUCGUUAUUAUUUGACUUUUACUGAUGAUUAUAGUAGAUAUGGAUAUGUCUACUUGAUCAAGCAUAAGUCAGAGACUUUCGAAAGGUUUAAGGAAUUUAAACAGGAAGUCGAGAAUCAAUUGGGCAGGAACAUUAAGAUGCUUCGAUCCGAUCGAGGUGGUGAGUAUCUUAGUUCAGAGUUCCUCGACUAUCUUAGGGAAUGUGGGAUUGUCUCACAAUUGACACCUCCCAGGACACCACAGUUGAAUGGUGUGGCUGAGAGGCGUAAUCGAACCUUGUUGGAUAUGGUUCGUUCCAUGAUGAGUCGAGCUACGCUACCAAUCUCAUUCUGGGGGUAUGCCUUAGAGACUGCCGCCCAUAUUCUUAAUCUAGUCCCUACAAAGAAAGUUGCCAAAACUCCUCACGAGAUGUGGAUUGGUAAAGUACCUAACCUAGACCACAUCAAGAUUUGGGGUUGCGAGGCUUUUGUGAGGCGCGAGACUCAUGACAAGCUAGAACCCCGAAGCGAGAGGUGUAUUUUCAUCGGCUACCCACAAAGAUCCUUUGGUUACCUCUUCUACAGACCUAGUGAUAAUGUGGUCUUUGUAGCAAGAAGAGGAGUCUUUCGAGAAAGAGAGUUUAUAAGCCAAGGAGACAGUGGGAGGCAAAUUGAUCUUGAAGAAAUUCAAGAGUCAAGUGGUGAAGGAACUUCAAACCCUAGC